GACGAACGCUGGCGGCGUGCUUAGCACAUGCAAGUCGAACGGAAAGGCCCUGCUUUUGUGGGGUGCUCGAGUGGCGAACGGGUGAGUAACACGUGAGUAACCUGCCCUUGACUUUGGGAUAACUUCAGGAAACUGGGGCUAAUACCGGAUAGGAGCUCCUGCUGCUUGGUGGGGGUUGGAAAGUUUCGGCGGUUGGGGAUGGACUCGCGGCUUAUCAGCUUGUUGGUGGGGUAGUGGCUUACCAAGGCUUUGACGGGUAGCCGGCCUGAGAGGGUGACCGGCCACAUUGGGACUGAGAUACGGCCCAGACUCCUACGGGAGGCAGCAGUGGGGAAUAUUGCACAAUGGGCGGAAGCCUGAUGCAGCAACGCCGCGUGCGGGAUGACGGCCUUCGGGUUGUAAACCGCUUUCGCCUGUGACGAAGCGUGAGUGACGGUAAUGGGUAAAGAAGCACCGGCUAACUACGUG
rnacentral:rRNA from 1 species